rnacentral:rRNA from 1 species
UACGGAGGAUCCAAGCGUUAUCCGGAAUCAUUGGGUUUAAAGGGUCCGUAGGCGGUUUAAUAAGUCAGUGGUGAAAGCCCAUCGCUCAACGGUGGAACGGCCAUUGAUACUGUUAAACUUGAAUUAUUAGGAAGUAACUAGAAUAUGUAGUGUAGCGGUGAAAUGCUUAGAGAUUACAUGGAAUACCAAUUGCGAAGGCAGGUUACUACUAAUGGAUUGACGCUGAUGGACGAAAGCGUGGGGAGCGAACAGGA